rnacentral:rRNA from 1 species
CCCUUAGAUGUCCGGGGCUGCACGCGCGCUACACUGAAGGAAUCAGCGUGCUAAAACCAUUGUCGAAAGGCAUUGGUAAACCCAUUAAAAUCCUACGUGAUUGGGAUCGGGAAUUGCAAUUAUUUCCCUUGAACGAGGAAUUCCCAGUAAGUGUGGGUCAUAAGCUCGCGUUGAUUACGUCUCUGCCCUUUGUACACACCGCCCGUCGCUGCCCGGGACUGAGCCGUUUCGAGAAAAGCGGGGACUGCUGCUGUCGGGGCUUUCGGGCCUUGGCUUCGGUGGAAACCGCUUUAAUCGCAGUGGCUUGAACCGGGCAAAAGUCGUAACA